CCUUGGUCGGGGCGAGCUGGGGCUGCAGGCUGUUGGUUUCAAGCCCUCAGCGUCCCUGGGGCAGAGGGCUGCACUGCCAAAGGUGCCUCCUGCUUCCUCUUAGCUCAGCCAGACCUGCAGCGCACCUCAGAACCCCCAGAAGAGACUGAAGAGGGCUCUCACAGGAAAAGCUCUGAAGCUUGUUAAAACAAAACAAACAUAUGAAUAGCACCGCUGUGAAGGACUCAGUGCCUCGUUGGCGUUGUGCUAAUGCGGUACUUCACCCCUUCUGCAGGCUUCACCCCUCGUGUGCCCGCCGUCUUAUGGUGUGCCUGCAGUGCCAAGUCCUGGUGACAGCAAAGCUACAGCUUCCUUUGUUAACCCAUGACCUGGUAGCCAGAUGGACAGCAGGAGCAGUGCAGAGGGCGUUACAGGUGUGGAGAAAGACCUCCAGGUAUGACCAACUACUUAGUUACCGUCAGCAGGGAGUAAAACGCUACAGAUAAGGCAUCAUUAUUUUUUGCUGCUCACAAAUAAUAAUUCAGGUAAAUACAUAGUUUUCUCAGUAAUAAAGUUUUGACUUCAUGUCAAAUUCUGAAAUAGGUGUAUUCUGGUAUAACUCCACACGUUCAUAUUUCUGUUCUAGAAGUGAUUCCAUUGAGACACCUACCUGGAAUAAUUACUUAGAUAAAGCCGUAACCUUGUGUACAGUGUUUCAUUUUCUUGGACUCGUUCUGUUGCAUGACAACUACUUGACAACACCUUGAUUCUUGAUUUUAUUUAAGCAGGAUCUCUUGCAAGCAUUCUUGCAGACACCGUGCAUUCAAAGCUAAUGUCAUUUUUUUCCCCUGUAUAGGCCAUAUUUGAGCAGCACUGGAUUGGAGUUCUUUCCCUGCACUGCGUUCUGCUAAGCGUCCUUCCAAUGAGGGUUACAUGAUCUUCACCGCAGAGUUGUCAGUGCUUGGCUUUAUUCCUUUUUCUAUAUAAUUUGUUUAAGAUUUGAUCAACACUUCUGCUGAUAUUGACUGCUGUUAUCAACAGAAAUGUGUGAGUCUAAGCAAAACCUAAGCUCUGACAGGAAAUCCCAGUGACUGAAAUAGGUACCAAGCUUGCUGGUACAGAGGUUUCCAAAAUGAGUUUUGCAAUUAAAACAGGUACAACACCAGACAAAGACUCAAGAACAAUAUUGACAAUUAUUAUUACACAACUUUAAGGUCUAUUAUUACAGCAAAGCUAUUACCAUCCUUGGCUUUUUUGACCUUGACCUACAAGGUUCUUGCCUGUAAGACUGAGCACAGAGAUGUAAAAAUAUUUUCCCCACAUGACACAAGAAUACAUCUAUGCAGGAUCUACAUAGAGAGAAGUGAUUUCACCAAGAAGUGAAAUACCCUCUGUGCACUUCCCAGCAUCAAAAUCUAUUACAGCCUGAAAGUAAAAGUGAAGCUAUUAGAAAACUAGAUGCUCAUUAUAGAUUUUAUAACAGGUUUUCAGUAACAGAACAGCCAUUAAUCGUGCUGCCACUUAUCACCAGACAGCGCUGUAGAUGACAACAGCUUUCCAUACAGUGCUGUGAAGCCUGAUACCUGAACCAGAUUAUAAAAGUUCUAUGCUGCUAGUACUGGUCUCAGUGUUAUUUUGUCGAACACUGUGUAGAAAGUGAAUAUGAGUGUUCAUGCAGUCAUUCUAUGUUCUUAAAAAGAUUUAAGUUUUAUUUACCCUUUGCUCAUCCACGGCUUUUACACAAGUAUUUGUUUUAUUGCUUCAAAAUUUUACCUAGUUGUCGUAAGAUUUUUAAAGGAGAGCUAAACAUUCCACAGAAAUGAUGAGUUUAAUGAGAAGCUAAUUUUGAAUUUACAACACCAUACAGAAUACCUAAACAUUACUGAAGUUGGAAGAGUAUCUGUGAUUUCUGUACCUCUGCACUUCUCCAGUUAUAUCUCCAGUUUUGUGGAACUCAGACUGCAAAUGUCUUCCUUAGGGACAGAUUAAAAGCACAAGCAUAAUUCUAACCUCAAGCAAUAGGGUAAGUGAAUGUAACUUGUCUUCAUCUGGAGAGAAGAGUGCAGAUGGUUGUAAUUACUAAAGAUUGCUUGCCAUUAGAUGCAAGCACAUAAAUUAAUUUCCGUUUUUAAUAAAGUAAUGCCACUGCAGUUAUACACAAGCCCUAAGGUAACUGCGUCUAAAACAAACAGCAACAUUCACACAGGAAAUGAUGGACAAAUGACAUAGGAGCUGACUGCAUGUUUCAGUUGGAAAUUAAGAGUUCCAAAAACAAUAUAUUCAAAAUCCCCUCAAAGGGCUUAAGCACUUCCUAUCUGAGAUAACGUAAGAGAUAAACUGCACAAAAGAACAGACAAUUGUUGCUAACUAUUACUGAGAAUUGCUAGUUGAGGUAAUUAAUGACUGACAAAUUUGAAGAUGUAGCGAUGACCUUUGGUUUAUAAAACGAUAAUGCUCAGAUAUCCUUUUUAAUUUGUAUUUUUCAAAGGCUAAUUAUCAAUCUCACUAUUUCAGAGAGAAAAAAACCGACACUUGCUCUGGAAAAAAUGCUUCGCUCAAGUUUAGGCACUCCCGGUUUGUGAACAGCCAGGAAGAAAACCCAGUUCUCCUGAGAUGGAGUCCUGUGACCUAUCCAGUGGACCGUGCUACUUCCAGAACACUGUCGUUUUCAGAAAGCCCUCUAUGAAGCAAUUUUUCAUAAUUAAAAACAAACCAAACGUCA